rnacentral:rRNA from 1 species
GAUGAACGCUGACAGAAUUCUUAACACAUGCAAGUCAACUUGAAUUUGGGUUUUUAACUUAGGUUUGGGUGGCGGACGGGUGAGUAACGCGUAAAGAACUUGCCUCACAGCUAGGGACAACAUUUGGAAACGAAUGCUAAUACCUAAUAUUAUGAUAAUAGGGCAUCCUAUAAUUAUGAAAGCUAUAAGCGCUGUGAGAGAGCUUUGCGUCCCAUUAGCUAGUUGGAGAGGUAACGGCUCACCAAGGCGAUGAUGGGUAGCCGGCCUGAGAGGGUGAUCGGCCACAAGGGGACUGAGACACGGCCCUUACUCCUACGGGAGGCAGCAGUGGGGAAUAUUGGACAAUGGACCAAGAGUCUGAUCCAGCAAUUCUGUGUGCACGAUGAAGUUUUUCGGAAUGUAAAGUGCUUUCAGUUGGGAAGAAAGAAAUGACGGUACCAACAGAAGAAGUGACGGCUAAAUACGUG